AGACGAACCGUCCUAACGUUAUUCGGAAUUACUGGGCUUAAAGGGUGCGCAGGCGGUCCGGUAAGUUGGGUGUGAAAUCCCUCGGCUCAACCGAGGAAUUGCGCUCAAUACUGCCGGGCUUGAGGGAGACAGAGGCGAGCGGAACUUGCGGUGGAGCGGUGAAAUGCGUUGAUAUCGCAAGGAACACCAGUGGCGAAAGCGGCUCGCUGGGUCUCUUCUGACGCUCAUGCACGAAAGCUAGGGGAGCGAACGGGAUUAGAUACCCCGGUAGUCCUAGCUGUAAACGUUGAGCACUGGGUCGGAGGGUCCUCCAUAGCCUUCCGGUCGAAGCGAAAGUGUUAAGUGCUCCGCCUGGGGAGUAUGGUCGCAAGGCUGAA
rnacentral:rRNA from 1 species